AUGUCAGUCGUAUCACCCUUCUAAUAAAAGUGGUGACUAACAAUAACAUUAGGGAAUGAAGCACCGUAAGUUAACCAUUGAAAAAAGUUAGAUAAUUUUGGAAUUCCUCUGUUCUGUUCAGACAAUAAGAUAGUGGCCCCAACUGUCAAGGUUGCCAUGGACAAACAGAGAGGAAAGGGACAAGUGGAAAGCACGUGCUGAGUUCCUGGAGGAAAAACUUUUGGAUGUCACUACAGAAUGUGACAUUUGCAGGACUCAUCUUUCUGAUGCUUUGGCGAGUCUCAAGGGGGCUAAACAGUCACAAAGAGAAGACAGAGAUAAUGAAGAGAUGAGGGGAUCUCAGAUGAGCGACAACAGUGAAGAUGACUGUGAAGAUGACGUUGAGGAAGACUGUGACUCCAGCUCUGAUUCCUCAGAGAAAGAAGGGGAAAUGGAAAAGAAAGA